GACGAACGCUGGCGGCGUGCCUAAUACAUGCAAGUAGGACGCAGUUGCGAACGGGUGAGUCACGCGUAGGUAACUGCCUAUUCGAGGGGGAUAACUAUUGGAAACGAUAGCUAAUACCGCAUACUCGUAGCUUGACCUGCGUUGUAUUAGCUAGUAGGUAGGGUAAUGGCCUACCUAGGCAACGCUACAUAGCCGAGGUGGGAGGGUGGUGAGGCACAAUGGGACUGAGACACGGCCCAGACGCCUAAGGGAGGGAGCAGUAGGGAAACUUCGGGAAUGGGGGGAACGGUGAACAAGCAAAGGCGCGUGAGUGAAGAAGGUGUUCGGAUCGUAAAGCGAGGUUGUUAAGGAAGCGGUACUUAACCAGAAAGGGACGGCUAACUACGUGCCAGCCGCCGCGGUAAUUC
rnacentral:rRNA from 1 species